UUGCUCUUCAACGAGGAAUGCCUAGUAAGCGCGUGUCAUCAGCAUGCGUUGAUUACGUCCCUGACCUUUGUACACACCGCCCGUCGCUACUACCGAUUGAAUGGCUCAGUGAGGCCUUCGGACUGGCUCGAGGAGGUUGGCAACGACCACCUCAAGCCGGAAAGUUCGUCAAACUCGGUCAUUUAGAGGAAGUAAAAGUCGUAACAAGGUCUCCGUAGGUGAACCUGCGGAGGGAUCAUUACACAAAUAUGAAGGCGGGCUGGAACCUCUCGGGGUUACAGCCUUGCUGAAUUAUUCACCCUUGUCUUUUGCGUACUUCUUGUUUCCUUGGUGGGUUCGCCCACCACUAGGACAAACAUAAACCUUUUGUAAUUGCAAUCAGCGUCAGUAACAAAUUAAUAAUUACAACUUUCAACAACGGAUCUCUUGGUUCUGGCAUCGAUGAAGAACGCAGCGAAAUGCGAUAAGUAGUGUGAAUUGCAGAAUUCAGUGAAUCAUCGAAUCUUUGAACGCACAUUGCGCCCUUUGGUAUUCCAAAGGGCAUGCCUGUUCGAGCGUCAUUUGUACCCUCAAGCUUUGCUUGGUGUUGGGCGUCUUGUCUCUAGCUUUGCUGGAGACUCGCCUUAAAGUAAUUGGCAGCCGGCCUACUGGUUUCGGAGCGCAGCACAAGUCGCACUCUCUAUCAGCAAAGGUCUAGCAUCCAUUAAGCCUUUUUUUCAACUUUUGACCUCGGAUCAGGUAGGGAUACCCGCUGAACUUAAGCAUAUCAAUAAGCGGAGGA
rnacentral:rRNA from 1 species